UACGUAGGGGGCAAGCGUUGUCCGGAAUCAUUGGGCGUAAAGCGCGUGUAGGCGGCCCGGUAAGUCCGCUGUGAAAGUCCAGGGCUCAACCCUGGGAUGCCGGUGGAUACUGUCGGGCUCGAGUCCGGAAGAGGAGAGUGGAAUUCCUGGUGUAGCGGUGAAAUGCGCAGAUAUCAGGAAGAACACCGGUGGCGAAGGCGCCACUCUGGGCCGGCACUGACGCUGAGGAGCGAAAGCGUGGGUAGCAAACAGG
rnacentral:rRNA from 1 species